GAACGCAAAUUGCGCUCGAGGCCUCGGCCAAGAGCAUGUCUGUCUCAGCGUCGGCUUACCCCUCUCACUCCCCAUUCUUUGUUACCAAAGAGCUGGGGUAGUGGAUCUGGCCGUCCCGGUGUACAGCCGGGUCGACCGAAGUACAGAGGCUUGUGCUUGGAUCCCUUUAAGGGCAACAGCUUGGUAGGUGGCUUAUGCUGCAUGCCGCUGGAGCCUUGGAGUCCAAGCCUGUGGCCGGCAGGAAACCAAUCAAUCAUUCGACCUGAGAUCAGGCAAGAACACCCGCUGAACUUAAG
rnacentral:misc_RNA from 1 species